rnacentral:rRNA from 1 species
CAGUCGCCACGGUAAUACGAAGGGGGCUAUCGUUGUUCGGAAUUACUGGGCGUAAAGGGCGCGUAGGCGGCCAUUCAAGUUAGAUGUGAAAGCCCUGGGCUCAACCUAGGAAUUGCAUUUGAUACUGUUUGGCUUGAGUUCGGGAGAGGUGAGUGGAAUUCCCAGUGUAGAGGUGAAGUUCGUAGAUAUUGGGAAGAACACCAGUGGCGAAGGCGGCUCACUGGACCGGCACUGACGCUGAGGCGCGAAAGCGUGGGGAGCAAACAGGAUUAGAUACCCCAGUAGUCCCUGUCUCUUAUAC